AGAGUGCAAAGGCACCUAAUAAAAGACCUAGUCUAUGAACAUUAGAAGGAUUGUCACAAGGGACCAUCAGCUGCCAGAAAUGUGUCACUUCCAGCACUCCUCCACAUUUCAUGGAACAUCUUAUUUGGAUAAAACUUAAAUUAUUACCACACUACUCUGCGCACACUUUUUUCCCCUUCUUUUUUUCCACGAACAGUCGUAACCAAGCUUGACAAACUACUGAUUUCUACCAAAGCAACUUCGAUGCCUUCCAGACAUCAGAGCCGACAGAUGAGAAGAGCUAAGAACAUGGAGGAGGCUCCUGUAGACACCAAUGUCUCUUGCCAUUUCAUACCAUAGCUCCCCUCCUCCAGGCAGCCUUCCCAGGUCUUUUGAUCAUGGCAGCAAAAAAAGCUGAGCACGGUAUGGAAAAAAGUGACGUGAAAUGAAAGUGUAGAAGCCUUCUCAGAGAGGAAGUAUGGCAAGAGAACUUCCCACUGGAAGGAUGAAGGAAGAUCUCUUAAUUUUUGAUCUUGGAGGAGGUGACAUUUGAGGUGGUCCUUUAAGGAUGCUCUGAAACAUCCAGUCUGAAAACUCCCAGGGACAGUUCUCGAGUACUGUACUUACCCCAACGGGGGCUUUGGGACAGAUGCGGACACUGGAAAAGCUGAGUUCCAGUCCUGGGCCCUUUGCUCACCAGCCACCUGAGCCUGGACACAGAUGCCUGGGCCCCACCCGAGAAACUGAUUGAAGCCGUCUAUCCAAGAACCUAGCUGUUAGGAUCCGUUGCCAGCUCCCCAGGUGAUUCUCCAACUCAGCCAGGGCUGAGGAUAAGAUCUAUUUUUUAGUGUGGCUAUGAGAACCAAUAAAGAUAGAGAGAU